rnacentral:rRNA from 1 species
CCCUUAGAUGUCCUGGGCUGCACGCGCGCUACACUGAUGUGUCCAGUAAGCACCUAACCUCUUCCGAAAGGAACGGGUAACCUUUGCAAAGCACAUCGUGAUGGGGAUAGAUUAUUGCAAUUAUUAGUCUUGAACGAGGAAUUCCUAGUAAGCACAAGUCAUCAGCUUGUGUUGAUUACGUCCCUGCCCUUUGUACACACCACCCGUCGCUCCUACCGAUUGAAUGUUCCGGUGAGCUCUUCGGACUGCGCGGUCUGCAGUUUCUGCGUUCCGUGCGGAAAGUUGCGCAAACCUUAACAUUUAGAGGAAGGAGAAGUCGUAACA